UACGUAGGGUGCAAGCGUUAAUCGGAAUUACUGGGCGUAAAGCGUGCGCAGGCGGUUUUGUAAGUCAGAUGUGAAAUCCCCCGGGCUUAACCUGGGAACUGCGUUUGAAACUACAAGGCUAGAGUGUGGCAGAGGGGGGGUGGAAUUCCACGUGUAGCAGUGAAAUGCGUAGAGAUGUGGAGGAACACCGAUGGCGAAGGCAGCCCCUGGGUAACACUGACGCUCAGGCACGAAGCGUGGGGA
rnacentral:rRNA from 1 species